rnacentral:lncRNA from 1 species
UGAAGUCAGUGUGCUGCCUUGCAAGUACAAAGAAUGAGCAAUAAUACUUUGUAUUCAACACCCUACUGCAGCAUGCAGUCCCAGGUAAUCAGAUAAAAGGGAUGGACCCCAUGUGGAUUCGGCACUGUGACUGCAGCCUGCCUGGAGGUAUCUUCUGCUCCUCACCAAGCCAGCAGUGCGUGUCUGACUGAAGAAAGAAGUCCUCAGAUUGUGUUGGCCCUUGGACUCCUGCUGACAAUCUCAGCUGGCUCCUGGCUUGCUUGCAGAUCUGGAGUCUUACAGUCAGUCUGGCCACAUGCAGAGGCUCCGUGCAUCCAGGAAGGAGAAGAUAUAUAAGGACAGCACUCUAGGAAGCUUCCUGGUAAAAUCUAGAGCUUCGAUGAGAAUAUGAUCCUGUAGCUGCUUGGCACAGAAUUUCUGCUGUGACAGGGAGCAGAGCUCCAACCGGUCCACCAGGAUCUUCUGCC